GAGCGCAGCCAUGUUAGCGCCCCGCCGAGGCGAAAGAGAAGGCGCGCGCGUGCCUGCAAAUCCUUGAUGGACAAUAGCGAGAGGCUGCGCGAGCGGCGUUGUUCUUGGACGGGGCAAUGACUUGGGGGCCACUCAAAAGAAAAGGUGGGGAAUGCCUGUAGUCUAUCAAUCCCUGAAGUUGAUGGUUUGCCUGCCCAUAAAGGCAACAUAAUGGACAAUAUUUCUGCUCUAAGUCAAAGCUACACAUUUAUGAAUAGAAAGGUACCAGUGUUUUACAGCCCUAAGUGGUUUAGAGUCAGCAUAUUGCCCCAACAAUCUGCAUCCUCAUGUUCACAGACUUCAGAAGGAUGGAAGGCUGAGACAACCCUGAACCAGUGAAAAUCGAAUUACCAAACUGCUGGCAAUUGGCAAUCAGCAGAAUUAGCUUGCAUUGUAACCACUAUGCCACCAUGGUUCAUUGAGAAUAUAAAGACAUUUGAGCACAGAAGUUUCCUGGAAUGGAACAACUUUCAGAGGAUAUAUUGGAAACUUUUACUUGCACUUGGGUUAACUUCCUUUUAUUCAACAUUAAUCUUCCCACACUGAUAAAAUUGUUUUCUCCAUGUAAGGACAGAACUACUUGCAUAGCACCAAGGGUGAUUUACAACUACUCUUUAAUUAGAGAAGGAACCUAAAGGCUUGCUUUGCCACAGUAAAAAAGAUUUCUGGUAUAGAUUUGUCUAAGUAUUGCAUAGAUUACAAUCAUGUUUAAAAAGUGUUUAUGGUGUUAAUUCCAGACUUUCCUCUGCAGUUUCAGGGUUGUAAACAAAGAAAGUUACAAAGGUUCAACAGUUGUUUUAAUGUGUUAUAAAUGGCUUUUCUUUCAGUCAUUUGGCUUUCAAAUACAAGGAAUGACUGCUUAUUUUGAGCUGGUAUGUUGUGGUACUGGUCAACCACUCACCUGACCAUUUCUGCCAUGGGCGCCAAUUGUACUUCAGCAUGCUACUGGAAUAUAUCAAAUGACAAUAAAUUGGAUACACUUGCCAGAAGCAAAAUACAUGGCCAGGUGUCAUGUGACUGUAACAAGAACAUACACUACAACUAAAACCAUCAGCAAUUCAAUUAUAUUUCUUUUCUCUGAACUGCAUUCUGCUCAAAGGGCUUGUAUUCACAAAGGAGGUCAAAAGAUACUUGCUUUCAGCUUUUGAUGAUGUAUUUCCUACGCAUUUAGGAGAAAUACUAUCUUUUCACUAUUUAGAAUAUGAAUCAAUAGGUUUUAUUGUUUUUAAAUAGCAGUUUUACAGGUGGGUUCCACCCUUAUUUACAUAACACCUUUAAGUACAAUAUAAAACAAUUUUAUAAAGAUACACAGUACAGAUUUUUAGAAGUCAAGCCUACCAUUACACACAGGAACAUCUCUCUCACCAAAAUACUGCAAAAAGAUAGUUGGAUUACUAGUAUAGAAUUGAUCUAGCAACUUCUUGCGUUCCUUGGCGGGGAGACUGGAGUCUUCAUCAAUAGUUUUUAGUAAAGACACCAGUUCCUCUUUUGUAGUUUUUUUGGCACUGAAAUGAUACUCACAUUCAUCAAGCCUCUGGCAAAAAGUAUAUCCUGGAAUAAGAAUAAAAUUCAUUAUUAAAAAUAACAUAGACGUUUGAGGUAUUUAUAAUGGUUUUCUUAAAUGUUUUCAUAAUAUUCCCCUAUUUAUAAUUCAUAGAGUGAUUCUGGAGAUUUCAAUUUUUUUGGAUAAAGGUAGAAUAUCUGUCUUGCUUAAAGUUGCCCGACUAAUCCCAAUUCUCUUUCCAUGAAGUUUAGGAUGUUUAGUGUUAGAAAAUGGUAAGCACUGAGAUAUUCAGUACUUCUUCUGAAUAGGUUGAAAAUACCAUGUAAAGUUUUGCAUAGCCCAUAUUGAUAAAUUUAUUUACUUUUAAUGUCACUCUUUCUGCAAAAGAGCAGAUUUUUCUAGACUGUUUAGCAGCUUCAUUUUCAUAGUGGACUAUGCCCAGAGCAGCUCACACUAAAGUUUAUUAUUAACAUGACUAAAGCUUAUGAAAAUAAAGUUUACCAAUAUUCAGACUGGAA